rnacentral:rRNA from 1 species
CUAACGGGUGAGUAAUGCGUGACCAACCUGCCCCAUGCUCCAGAAUAGCUCUUGGAAACGGGUGGUAAUGCUGGAUGCUCCAACUUGACGCAUGUCUUGUUGGGAAAGUGUUUAGUGGCAUGGGAUGGGGUCGCGUCCUAUCAGCUUGUAGGCGGGGUAAUGGCCCACCUAGGCUUCGACGGGUAGCCGGCCUGAGAGGGCGGACGGCCACAUUGGGACUGAGAUACGGCCCAGACUCCUACGGGAGGCAGCAGUC